AACGCGAAGAACCUUACCAAGGCUUGACAUGAACCGGAAAAGUGCAGAGAUGUGCUCCCCGUAAGGUCGGUUCACAGGUGGUGCAUGGUUGUCGUCAGCUCGUGUCGUGAGAUGUUGGGUUAAGUCCCGCAACGAGCGCAACCCUCGUCCCAUGUUGCCAGCGGGUUAUGCCGGGGACUCAUGGGAGACUGCCGGGGUCAACUCGGAGGAAGGUGGGGAUGACGUCAAAUCAUCAUGCCCCUUAUGUCUUGGGCUUCACGCAUGCUACAAUGGCCGGUACAGAGGGCUGCGAUACCGUAAGGUGGAGCGAAUCCCAAAAAGCCGGUCUCAGUUCGGAUUGGGGUCUGCAACUCGACCCCAUGAAGUCGGAGUCGCUAGUAAUCGCAGAUCAGCAACGCUGCGGUGAAUACGUUCCCGGGUCUUGUACACACCG
rnacentral:rRNA from 1 species